GAUGAACGCUGGCGGCGUGCCUAACACAUGCAAGUCGAACGGGACUAUCUGGAAGAUCUUUUCGGAGUGAUUCCUAAUAGUUUAGUGGCGGACGGGUGAGUAACGCGUGGAUAACCUGCCUUUCACAGGGGGAUAGCAGCUGGAAACGGCUGGUAAUACCGCAUACGCUCAUAUCACCGCAUGGUGGUGUGAGGAAAGAUUUAUCGGGUGAAAGAUGGAUCCGCGUCUGAUUAGCCAGUUGGCGGGGUAACGGCCCACCAAAGCGACGAUCAGUAGCCGGCCUGAGAGGGCGGACGGCCACAUUGGGACUGAGACACGGCCCAG
rnacentral:rRNA from 1 species